rnacentral:tRNA from 1 species
AUUACUUUGACAGAAUAGUGUGUUAAAUUUAGAAUUUAUUUAUGUAUAUAGGUUAUACAAGUAAUA